ACCUGGGAUAGCUCAGUCAGUAGAGCAUGAGACUCUUAACCUCAGGGUUAUGGGUUCAAGCCCCACAUUGGGCA
rnacentral:tRNA from 1 species